CAUCCCACACCAUCAUCAUAUUCAUCAUCACCACCACGAAUUCGUAUUUACGAGAGGAGGAUGAACACACACUUGCUUUUGGGAUUCACCAACCAAAGCCAAACUGAAAACGAACAAUGCGACCCAGCGAACCUUAUGAUGAAUUGCGACCCCAAGUUUAUUACGUUACAGGUUUCGUAUCGUAUCGUCGUCACCCAAGAAAUCGCUGUUCGGUUGAAGAAUCGCAUCCAAAAAAAAUUAUGUACGGUGUGGUGUGGCGACAUCAUCGAUAUGACGCCAUAACAGAUUUAUGUAUGUAUUUAUUUACCAAGAUAUAUUUAUUCACGAAAAAAACGGCUUAAUUUCAUUAUCCUUACUCUUUUUUUGACUUAGAAUGUAUAAAAUUAUUCAACGGUUCCGGUUGAAGGCACUCUGUUUGUAACUAAAAAUACAAAAGAAGUUCUACACACCACGUAAUUCUAGUAAUUAGGAUUAUAUCAAUAAUAUAAUGAAAAAUUAAACGAAACACGAAA